rnacentral:tRNA from 1 species
GGCCCCAUAGUUCAAGGGAUAGAACAAGCGUUUCCUAAACACUAGAUGCAGGUUCGAGUCCUGCUGGGGUCA